CUCGCGUGACAUUAGCCAGAUGGUGAGGUAACGGCUCACCAUAGCAAUGAUGUCUAGGGGUUUUGAGAGGAAGGCCCCCCACACUGGGACUGAGACACGGCCCAGACUCCUACGGGAGGCAGCAGUGAGGAAUAUUGGACAAUGGAUGGAAAUCUGAUCCAGCCAUGCCGCGUGCAGGAAGACGGCCUUAUGGGUUGUAAACUGCUUUUAUACGGGAGCAAUAAGGGUUACGAGUAAUCCGAUGAGAGUACUGUAUGAAUAAGGAUCGGCUAACUCCGUGCCAGCAGCCGCGGUAAUACGGAGGAUCCGAGCGUUAUCCGGAAUUAUUGGGUUUAAAGGGUGCGUAGGCGGCCAUUUAAGUCAGCGGUGAAAUUUUGCAGCUUAACUGUAACAGUGCCGUUGAUACUGUUUGGCUAGGAUUUGGUUGUAGUGUGCGGAAUGUGUGGUGUAGCGGUGAAAUGCUUAGAUAUCACACAGAACACCGAUUGCGAAGGCAGCACACUAAGUCAUUAUUGACGCUGAGGCACGAAAGUGUGGGGAUCAAACAGGAUUAGAUACCCUGGUAGUCCACACUGUAAACGAUGAUAACUCGCUGUCGGCGAUACACAGUCGGUGGCCAAGCGAAAGCAUUAAGUUAUCCACCUGGGGAGUACGACCGCAAGGUUGAAACUCAAAGGAAUUGACGGGGGCCCGCACAAGCGGAGGAACAUGUGGUUUAAUUCGAUGAUACGCGAGGAACCUUACCCGGGCUCGAACGGUGCAUGAAUAUACGAGAGAUUGUAUAGUCCUUCGGGACAUGUAUCGAGGUGCUGCAUGGUUGUCGUCAGCUCGUGCCGUGAGGUGUCGGCUUAAGUGCCAUAACGAGCGCAACCCUUGUCAUUAGUUGCCAUCAGGUCAAGCUGGGGACUUUAAUGAGACUGCCACCGUAAGGUGUGAGGAAGGGGGGGAUGACGUCAAAUCAGCACGGCCCUUAUGUCCGGGGCGACACACGUGUUACAAUGGGAGGUACAGAGGGCAGCUAUCCGGUGACGGAAUGCUAAUCUCCAAAACCUUUCUCAGUUCGGAUUGGAGUCUGCAACUCGACUCCAUGAAGGUGGAUUCGCUAGUAAUCGCGCAUCAGCCAUGGCGCGGUGAAUAAAAGGCCGGGCCUUGCACACACCGCCCG
rnacentral:rRNA from 1 species